rnacentral:rRNA from 1 species
UACGUAGGGUGCAAGCGUUAAUCGGAAUUACUGGGCGUAAAGCGUGCGCAGGCGGUUUCGUAAGUCUGUCGUGAAAUCCCCGGGCUUAACCUGGGAAUGGCGAUGGAGACUGCGAGGCUAGAGUUUGGCAGAGGGGGGUAGAAUUCCACGUGUAGCAGUGAAAUGCGUAGAUAUCAGGAGGAACACCGAUGGCGAAGGCAGGUCUCUGGGCUGACACUGACGCUCAUGCACGAAAGCGUGGGGAGCAAACAGG